AGAGUUUGAUCCUGGCUCAGAAUCAACGCUGGCGGCGUGCCUCAGACAUGCAAGUCGAACGAUUAAAGCUCCCUUCGGGGAGUGCAUAAAGUGGCGCACGGGUGAGUAACACGUAAGUAAUCUACCCUCGGGUGGGGAAUAACGUUCGGAAACGGACGCUAAUACCGCAUAAUGCAGCGGCACCGCAAGGUGACAGUUGUUAAAGAUUUAUUGCCUGGGGAGGAGCUUGCGGCAGAUUAGCUUGUUGGUAAGGUAACGGCUUACCAAGGCUACGAUCUGUAUCCGGUCUAAGAGGACGGUCGGACACACUGACACUGAAUAACGGGUCAGACUCCUACGGGAGGCAGCAGUCGGGAAUUUUGGGCAAUGGGGGAAACCCUGACCCAGCAACGCCGCGUGAAGGAUGAAGUAUUUCGGUAUGUAAACUUCGAAAGAAUAGGAAGAAUUAAUGACGGUACUAUUUAUAAGGUCCGGCUAACUACGUGCCAGCAGCCGCGGUAAU
rnacentral:rRNA from 1 species